rnacentral:lncRNA from 1 species
AGUUACCCAUCGUCUUUUAUAAAGUCGUUUGGAAUAGCAUAGAGCUGUUAGUAUUUUCAACUGCACAUCUAGGAAGAAGACAAAGGUGUGACUGAGUGGUGGGGAAUAGAAUGUAAAUAUUACAUGUCUUCUUUGAAAGUCGAAAAAAGACAAUUAAAAGAAAGAGCGAGGAAAAUCAGAAGAGGAAGUGGAAGUAGAAAACUCGGUUCCUUGCCCAUCUGGAGUCUGAUGAGAAUCAAAGCUGAAAAGCCAAGUGCUUGAGGUUGUGUCUUCUGCUGGACUAUGAAGAUAAAUACAAAGAAGUCUCCUCCUACUGACUGAAAAUUGCUGUGAAGAGGAGGAGGGAGGAAGGAAUACAAAUCAAAGAUUUAAGGGAAAGGUUUCCGUCCUCAAAUGCAGCACUUUGUAAAGUUAAAGGGUGCAAUUACAACUUACUUUGAAGAUCUUCAUUGGCUUUAUUUAUUUAUUUAUGUAUUUAGUGGUGCUGGGGAUUGAACCCAGGGUCUUGCACGUGCUUGGCAAAUGUUCUACACCUGAGCCACAUCUCCAAGCUCUGGCUUUAU